AGCAUGCCCCGAAUUAUCUGGGCUACACGCGGGCUACAAUGGGUGGGACAAUGGGUAUCGACACCGAAAGGUGAAGACAAUCUCUAAACCCAUCCGUAGUUCGGAUUGUGGGCUGCAACUCGCCCACAUGAAGCUGGAAUCUGUAGUAAUCGUGUCUCAAAAUGGCACGGUGAAUAUGUCCCUGCUCCUU
rnacentral:rRNA from 1 species